UUGGUGGCAGGGGUUACCGGAAAAGCGAGCAGUAAGGAGGAGCGAGUUGCUUCGAUCAAGGUCGCACUCGCUCUUGCUAGCGAGGCAAUGACAGAUCAGAAAAAAAGGGGAAACGAUGCUGAAGAAGCUGCAAAUGAGAAGGCUAGAUCACAACCGUUAGCUAAGGACAGGUGUUGCCAGAAAAUCGAGAGGCAAAAUAAAAGUGGAGCUGUCCGAUUGUAAACGAAAUGCAGCCUCUGCUUCUCUCUCGUUUACACUACAACGGAUUGAAAUAUAGAAAAUGGUGGCCAGAGGGAUCAGUAGCGAGGUGCGGGUGGUCAAGUUGGCGGAGCUUGAGUUUCGGUGAACGGAAACCGCAGAAGGGGAAGGGGGUAGGGGCUAUCAGCAGAGUCCGGGAGAGAAGAGCGGAAAUUUGGAUUUUUUUCUUUUUAUGUUUUUAGUGAGUAGUUUGGUUUAAACCGGAUUUGAUUCGGUCCAGUUGUUUUGAGUGAUAUUUAAUUGAUUAUGGGUUUAAUUUAAUUUUUAAGGUUUGAUUUGGCAAUAACAAAAGUAUUUGUUACUAUUAAAUUUUAUUUAAUAAUUUUACAAAGCCUCA
rnacentral:lncRNA from 1 species